AAACCAUACAUUGGACAUUUACGCAGCAAAUCCUUGAAACGCUCCAAAGCUUCAUAUAAGUUCUCAUCCUCCAACUACUUGAAUGAUGUGAGAUCAUUCCUCAGCUU